rnacentral:rRNA from 1 species
UAUCCCUACGGGAGGCAGCAGUGGGGGAUAUUGCACAAUGGGGGAAACCCUGAUGCAGCGACGCCGCGUGAGUGAAGAAGUAUUUCGGUAUGUAAAGCUCUAUCGGCAGGGAAGAAAAAAAUGACAGUACCUGACUAAGAAGCCCCGGCUAACUAAGUGCCAGCAGCCGCGGUAAUACGUAGGGGGCAAGCGUUAUCCGGAUUUACUGGGGGUAAAGGGAGCGGAGGCGGCCACGCAAGUCAGAAGUGAAAACCCGGGGCUCAACCCUUGGAGUGCUUUUGAAAC